ensembl:lncRNA
CUUAACAGUCACUAAACAUGUGAAAGCCUACUUACAUUUAUAAAGGCAAAAAGAAAGAUCAUGAUUCUCUAAUAGGGAACAUGAAUCCCCAAAUAAAUUAUCUUACAAAAAUAUCAAAAUUGCUUUCCCCCUUGUCUACUACUGGUAAAUAUGAAAAGAAAAUUCACACUGUAAAAAUCUGUAGGCUGAUAUAGUAAGUUAAGGCCAUUAUUUUUGCAUAUUAAAUAAGUCCUUCAAAUAAAUAUUUUACACAAAUUUAAGUUUAAAAAAACAGGUUAGGUUUCACCCUAUAUUUCUUUGGUCCACUAAAAGACCAUUUUAUCAACUGACAUUAAACUGGACAACAGCUCACACCAUGAACAACACACACACCACUGAGACCGCACGUGUGCAAUGGCUAACACUGCUGCAUCCUGAGGAGUUUCACCCUGCACAAACCCUCAAGCCUAUCCGGAAUCAAGCUGCAGGGAAAGAGCAAAAGAUAUUAAUACCUACUACAGAAAUGUGCAGGCAUCGUGAAAAAAUGCAGAAAGGAUAAGUCUUCCAGACAUAAAGAUUACUGAACAUGGGUAAAACUCAAGACUGCUUCCAAAUACCUGAACUUGGAAUGCAGUCAGCACACUCGUGGAGGACACAGGAAUGAACACGUGACAGAACUCUGGCUUCUGUGGGGUAUAUUCCUGUUGUUUUAUUCCAAAGUUUUAUGUGAACUUCAAUCCUGGUGGAGAUUUAAUAAAAUACCAGUACAUUAAGUUCUUCUAUUCUAACAACCAAAUGUAAGAAAAACUACCAUAGAGGGAUAUAGGACUUUUUUGUAUCUUCCUAGACUUUUAAAGCUAAUUUGAUUUUCAUUAUAAUGAUAUUUUAAUUAACAAUAUGCUAAAAACAAAAUCGACAGAAUUACUUUUUGUCCACACUGUUCAAUUCUCUUAUUGCUAAAAUACUGUAUUACAAAAUGAAUCCAGUGAACAUCUUCAAUUUCAAAAGGCCUGAGAGGUGAAUUCAACUUUUCUUUAAUCUAGGCUGAGGACAGCGAUGGUAACUUUGCAAAUUGAAGCUUUCCAUCCAGGAUAGAAAAAACGAGCAUCCAAAGUAGAGAGAACCACAAAACCACUUCUCUUGUUAUUCGAGCUAGUAGCUACUCAGAGCUUAAAGUUUCCGUCUUCAUUAUUAUUGGCGGUUCCAAAAGUCACAGUUUCGAUGUCAAACGUGACAGUAGAUCCAGAAGUAACUGCAGGCAACUGGUUGGUCAUUUCUUUUCCAUUUACAAAAACUGCACCAUUGGUACUGAUUCACACUGCCUGGUCCCGCUGCAGAGAGCCGCAUCCGCGCUGGUUCUCUGCACACACUCUGAUACUGCCUCUGCGGUCUGGCUGCCCCACAGUUUCAACCCUGAAUGUUAAUGUCUGCGCACAGAAAUAGGUCGGAGCUUUGGAGUAGAGAACACCCGAGGAUUCAGAAUCAUUCCGAAGAGCUAUGUUUCUUUGACUGCUCAGACUGUACUCCUCAAAGCCAGUUGUCCACUCAUGAGGCCCCAGUGUGGAGUGACCUAUCUGGGGGACGCUCCAAGGACUCCACUCCUGUCGCCCGUAUCCUCGAGCGUAGACUCUGAACUGAUAAUCAACAAACAUCGGGGUCUAUGUGUAGUACAAUGAAUUCAGUUUCAGAUCCUACGUAUUGGUCUUCAAAAUGAUUUGAAGUGCAUUUACGGAACUGAAGCCUGUAAUCUUGGGCUGCAAAGUCGUCGUCCACCUUACACCAUCGCACGAUGAUGCCCCCAGGCCUCUCUAUCAGCUCUUCUAUCUGUUCUGGUGAACGGAAUGCUACAGCCACAUGCUUAAAAAUGUGGUCUUUCACUAUGUUCAAAAUGGAAUCAUCCAACUGAGCAGAUAAGCAAGGCGCAUCAACCAGCACAGGCACUUCCGGGUCACAUGAUAGCAUCCUGUGAUGCCUGUGGGGUUAUAAAGCUAUGGGACUUUCGGAAGCUUUUACCAGUUGUGUCCAUUGAUGUAGGUCCAAGUCCUGGCGAUGAGGUGAAUUUUGAUUCAUCAGAAGCUGACACGUUACUACUGUAGGUCAACAUUACUGGAUUUGUUUACAAAGGAGAAACCAUAGGAUUUGCUGCUCUUCAACCUCACACCCUCCGUUCAACCCCUGGAGAAAUCCCAGCAAAGAAAACAAAAAGAACAAGAAAUUACUGAGGCAAUAAAGAAAAAAGAAAGCGAGGUUGAAAAGGUACCACAGAAGAAGUCCAUUGAUCCUGCCUUGUCAAUGCUGAUUACAUCUGUAAAAAAACAAAACAGAACAGUUUCAAGCAAGAAAAAAACAAAGAGUCAAAUAAGUGGAUAUUAUUUCUUUUUGCAUUGAUAAUGUAUUCUAAAGCAUACAGAAACAGUAGAGGAGAUACUGGGAAUAAAGUCACCUUUUCACAUAAAAAAAUCUUUUUCUGACCAUAGUAAGAUUCCUUUACAUGUAUACUUGUACUUAAUUGUGGCUGAUUGAUAGAGUUGUACUGUAUAUUUCCACAGAUCUAUCAUAGUUAAAUUACCUGAAUUACAAAAAAAAAAAAAGAAGGAAAAAAGAUGUUCAUAGCUGAU